GGAAACUAAACGCACGUCAGCAUGAAGCCACUCCUGCUCUUUGUUUUACUUUCACUUUCAGACUCAGAGCCGCACAUGAAGCGCGUUCAGACUUGUUACUGAAGAAAACAGCCCGUUUAAUCAUUUUUUCUCGUCCCCAUGAAGAGUAUGAUGGUAACGAUCAGCUAACGAAGCUCCUGUCUGAACAGGUCAGUUUCAUGUGGUCGGAUCACUUCAGUCUAUCGUGGCCGCUCCAGGUGAUGAUGCCAUCCUGCCGUGUCACGUGGAGCCAAAGUUUAAUGUGGCGGGGCUGACGGUGGAGUGGUCGAGGCCCGAUCGUCGUCCUGACCCCAACGACCGUCUGAGCCGAGUGGAAUAUGUUCAUCUUUACAGAGACGCCCGAGAGGUCCCCGACAUGAAGAUCCCAUCGUACAUCGGGAGGACGGCGUUGUUCACAGACGGCCUGAGAGAAGGAAACAUCUCACUAAGAAUCACUAAUGUGACACAAGAAGAUGAAGGAAGAUACAAAUGUUUCAUCCCAAAGUUAAAGAGUCAAACAAAGUCUUCAAUUGUUCGUCUCAUUGUUGCUGAAACUAUGACAACAGAGACACCGCUGCAUCCUGAAACUCUCCAAACUCCUGAGCCGAUGGACGAGUUUCACAGUAAAGGUGGUUUGUCCCGUCGGAGCCGACUGAUCCCACUUGUGGUUGUCUGUGUUUUUAUUCUGCUCUGUGUCGCAGUCGCAGGACGCUGGUUCACUGAGUCAAAGCAUCGAAAAACAGAAUUCGAGAAAGGACCUCCUAUCUAGGUGCCUUGCUCACUGAACCACCUCCCAGUUGGGAUUCAGGAGACAGAUACCCUCUCUACUUUUAAGAUUAGGCGUAAAACUUUCCCUGUUAACAAAACAUAAAGCUAGGGCUUGAGACCUAGCUUUAUGACCUAGCUAGGCCUUGACCACAAAGCUCUGCUGAGAGUGGUGAGAUCAGCACAUCACCAGGAGUGAACUGCCAGCCAUGCAGGAUCUCUAUAGACAGCGCUACGUGAAGAAGACGCAGCAGAUCCUCUCUGAUCCCAGCCACAGACUUUUAACACUACUGCCAUUCGGCAGGCAGUUCAGGAGCAUCCAGACCCGCACUACCAGACACAGAGACAGUUUUUCCCCACAAGCCAUCAGGCUUUUGGACUGCUGACACUCUAUACACAUCAUUACACACUCACUACAAUUACAGGACUCUACACACUGUCACUUCAACUAAUGCCACUUAAAUGUUCUUGCACAAGUUUUGCACAAUUGUACAAGAGCUAUUUUCUGUUAUUUUCUUCUUAAUUUAACCGCAUUCUGCAUGCUCAUGUAAAGCUGAGGAGCACGAGCCAAAGAAUUUCAUUAUGGGUAAAUGUGGCUACACUGUUUAUCUGUGGAUGACAAUAAGACUUGAAACUUGAGUUUAGCUGACCCUGAAUCCUGCCUUAUGGUGUCAUGGGGGUUAGUAUUGUUUCCUCACAGCAGGAAACUCCUGGGUUUGAAUUCAUCAUCUGGCAAGUCCUUUGUGAGGUUUGCAUGUUCUUCCCAUGUCUAUGUGGGUUUUCUCUGGGUACUCCAGCUUUCUCCCACAGUCCAAAGACAUGCAGUCAGUGGGUUUAGGUUAAAUGGUGACUUUAAGCUGCCCAUAGGCACGGAUGGUUGUCUUUCUCUGUGUUAACCCAUAAAUAUUCAGACUAAAACCUGAGGACCAAACUGGUUUAGAUAAUUAGAAGUCAGCCUGUUUAAGAACUGUACCACAUCUAGCAGUCUGCAUGUACUCUAAAGAGAGCUAAGGUUUCCAACGCCUUUUGCCUUGAAGCCAGUACAGCAGCUAGGAUGUAAACAUGUUUGGAUACUAGGUAUUUUUUCCAACCACAGCCUGGAGCUGGAGGUGUUUUUCCAUCUGUUUGUUUUGUAAUCAUGAAAGUUCAUAAUUGCCACUCACAGACACACUGAUUAUUGUCUCAAGUACAUUGUUUUGGUUUCAGUUUUAAGGAUUUGGAUGUCAUCAAAGUUAAAUUUCCUUUAGAAGGAAGAACUUGUUCAUUGUGUGAACUCUAAAGUCCUCUUCUCAUCCUUAGCAGCGAUGAUCUGUGGAGGAGUUCAGCUGUGUUGUUAUUAAUGUCAGAGACAUCACUGAGCGCAGUGGCAAACACAUCAGUCAUGGUGCUUUUUGUUUUGAGGUCAGGAUUAUUUUACAGUGGGGAUUUUAGAAUAUUUCAUUUAAGGACAGUGCAGCAGAGGCUGCUUUUUGCUAUAAUGUAUGUCUGUACCAAAGUAUAAAGAUAUUACAAAAACACAUUUAUCAGGAUUUAUAUGAGCCUUGAUUUAACAUGAAAGCUCACAAACAGCCGAGCUCUCACUUUUCAUGAAAUUUAAAUCUACAGCUCAACUGUUACUGAUAUUUUUGUUUAAAGAUGAGAUUUGAUUUCCAUUGUUCUUUAUUGUCUAUUGUCUGACAUUUACAUCAGCAGGUGCAGGAGCAGUCCAACCUGCAUCAUGAUUAACCCCACACACCCAACCCAGAAACUGUUUGACCUCCCCCCUGAGGCAGGAGGAUGCACAGCUUCUUCUCAGAGGCUGAAGUAAGAGUGGUCACCUCCAAACCUCACUGACUGCACUUGUGCCAUUCUGCCCUGCUGUGCUGCUGCUCUGGUUUUUAAAAUGGCACUGAGUCUUUUGUCUAUUUAUUAUAAAAUAUGUAUUCAUUAUUUUUUAUGUCUUAUUAUUUUUCUUAUUAUUAUUUUUAUUUUUAAUCUCAUAAAAGCUGCUUUCUCCUGCACACAGUGGUUGCUCACCUGCAAGUCCCUUUGCAACCCACCUCUGCCCUUACUCCUCCACAUAUGCAGUAGCUGACUUAACCCUCUUGGGUCAACAGAUCCGCUGGCGUGCCAAAAAAAUCACUUGACCAAUUUAAGAUGACACAGCAACAAGAUGCAGCCACCCAGAGUCUCCAUUUCUACUUGUGUUGAAAGUGCGGACUUCAAGCUAAAAUGUUUUUUGCAAAACUUGUGCAUAGGUUUUUACAUUUCAAGUUAUGAAAAUUAUUUGUUAAACAUGUUUGUGAUUGUUACAAUAAAAAAUAAAGUAC